AUUGAACGCUGGCGGAAUGCUUUACACAUGCAAGUCGAGCGGCAGCGCGGGGGCAACCCUGGCGGCGAGCGGCGAACGGGUGAGUAACAUAUCGGAGCGUACCCCGUCGUGGGGGAUAACUACCCGAAAGGGUAGCUAAUACCGCAUACGACCUGAGGGUGAAAGCGGGGGAUCGCAAGACCUCGCGCGAUGGGAGCGGCCGAUAACGGAUUAGCUAGUUGGUGAGGUAAAGGCUCACCAAGGCGACGAUCCGUAGCGGGUCUGAGAGGACGACCCGCCACACUGGAACUGAGACACGGUCCAGACUCCUACGGGAGGCAGCAGUGGGGAAUUUUGGACAAUGGGGGCAACCCUGAUCCAGCCAUUCCGCGUGAGUGAAGAAGGCCUUCGGGUUGUAAAGCUCUUUCGGCAGGAACGAAACGGUGGCUCCUAAUACGGGCUGCUAAUGACGGUACCUGAAGAAGAAGCACCGGCUAACUACGUGCCAGCCGCCGCCGUAAUAC
rnacentral:rRNA from 1 species